AUGCACCUUACACAGCUUAAAUGUCGGAUUAAUAGCAUCCAUCUUUUAAAAAGUGUGUAGUAACUUAU
rnacentral:rRNA from 1 species